GGCUCAGGACGAACGCUGGCGGCGUGCUUAACACAUGCAAGUCGAACGGUGAUGUCAGAGCUUGCUCUGGCGGAUCAGUGGCGAACGGGUGAGUAACACGUGAGUAACCUGCCCCCGACUCUGGGAUAACUGCUAGAAAUGGUAGCUAAUACCGGAUAUGACGAUUGGCCGCAUGGUCUGGUCGUGGAAAGAAUUUCGGUUGGGGAUGGACUCGCGGCCUAUCAGGUUGUUGGUGAGGUAAUGGCUCACCAAGCCUACGACGGGUAGCCGGCCUGAGAGGGUGACCGGCCACACUGGGACUGAGACACGGCCCAGACUCCUACGGGAGGCAGCAGUGGGGAAUAUUGCACAAUGGGCGAAAGCCUGAUGCAGCAACGCCGCGUGAGGGAUGACGGCCUUCGGGUUGUAAACCUCUUUUAGUAGGGAAGAAGCGAAA
rnacentral:rRNA from 1 species